UGGCAUUGUCCUAAGUCAAGCCCUUUUAACUUUGACCAUUUUUUAAGAAUAUAUUAACAUGUACAAGUUCAAAAAACUGCAUUAUCAAAACAUAUUUCAUAUAGAAUUUAAUGAGCCUAAUUUGAUGCUGUAGAUGUUGGUAUAUUUUCUAUAAAACUUGCUCAGAGGUAGAGAAAUUUGACUUAGGACAAAGCCAA
rnacentral:pre_miRNA from 1 species